rnacentral:rRNA from 1 species
CCUACGGGAGGCAGCAGUAGGGAAUCUUCCGCAAUGGACGCAAGUCUGACGGAGCAACGCCGCGUGAGUGAUGAAGGUUUUCGGAUCGUAAAGCUCUGUUGCCCUAGACGAACAGCAGGGGGAGUCACUGCCCUUUGUGUGACGGUAUAGGAGAAGAAAGCCCCGGCUAACUACGUGCCAGCAGCCGCGGUAAUACGUAGGGGGCAAGCGUUGUCCGGAAUUAUUGGGCGUAAAGCGCGCGCAGGCGGCUGUUUAAGUCUGACGUUUAAGCCCGGGGCUCAACCCCGGUUCGCGUUGGAAACUGGACGGCUUGAGUGCAGGAGAGGAAAGCGGAAUUCCACGUGUAGCGGUGAAAUGCGUAGGGAUGUGGAGGAACACCAGUGGCGAAGGCGGCUUUCUGGCCUGUAACUGACGCUGAGGCGCGAAAGCGUGGGGAGCAAACAGGAUUAGAUACCCUGGUAGUCCACGCCGUAAACGAUGAGUGCUAGGUGUUGGGGGUUUCGAUACCCUCGGGUGCCGAAGUCAACACAGUUAAGCACUCCGCCUGGGGGAGUACGC